rnacentral:rRNA from 1 species
AUGAACGCUGGCGGCGUGUCUAAGGCAUGCAAGUCGAACGACCCCACGUCGCUCGCAAGAGCUAUGUGGGGUAGUGGCAAACGGGUGCGUAACACAUUGGUGACCUGCCUCGUAGUCGGGCAUAACCCACCGAAAGGUGGACUAAUUCCACGAUGGUGUCCGGUGUCAAAACCGGACUAAAGUCGCAAGACGCUACGAGAGGGGCCUAUGGCCUAUCAGCUAGUUGGUGAGGUAAUGGCUCACCAAGGCUAUGACGGGUAGGGGAUGUGAGAGCAUGAUCCCCCUCACUGGGACUGAGACACUGCCCAGACACCUACGGGUGGCUGCAGUCGAGAAUAUUCCCCAAUGGGCGAAAGCCUGAGGGAGCGACGCCGCGUGCAGGAUUAAGGGCUUCGGCUCGUAAACUGCUUUUGCCGAGGAAGAAUCAUGACGGUACUCGGAGAAUAAGAGGUUGCUAACUCUGU